ACUUUCUACUAUCUCUAAAUCUUUAUAUACAUUCCCUCAAAAAGAAAUUCUCUAUGUCACUACUACAAAUCCCGCUAAUUCUCGACGAUAUCUGCUCGACGCCGAAGGUACAGCGUUGGUGAAAAUUUGGGUCCGCGUAUUUUCUCGACGCGGUUUGUCGUCUUCUCUAAAAGUGGACACAGAAAGGCGUCGAGUACUUGGCACAUGCUAGGCACGUGGUAGACUAAUAGUACUCCGCUUCAAAAAUUUUGGGGGAAAAACACCCACUCCCACCCCGUGUUAACUGAACCCUAGCCUCCCACUAAUCAACUUCUCUCUCAUCAAUUCGUAUUCUCGAAAAAUCACAGAUCCAUCAACUGAUUUCAACCACAGAUCGAGGGCUCUUUGGUUCCUAUUCGCGUUUUCCCUACGUUUGAAGCUUAUCUUGCUGAUGUAACUUGUAAUUUUGUGUAUUCCGCUGUUAAUUUGCGAUAUCAAAUUAUGUUUUAUAUCUUCGUUUUUAAUCCUUCCUCUUCGUAGAUCUAUUGUUCAAUUCUAGGGAUUUUAAUUCAUUAUUUGGCAAGAUUGGUUUCGUUUUUUAUUUGGGUAAUUUAUUGGUUUUUUUAUAACUAUUUUGUUACUAGAUUGAAGAUUUGGAAGGUAGCUUGGGAAAUCGUUAAUCGUGUUUGGUUGAGGUAAUGAAAUUUAUUAUUAAAUAUUCGAGUUUAAUUUAGAUUUGUGUAUUUAUAGUUUAUCUGGUCAAUGGUUCCUGAUGAUAUCAAGGAGAAGGCCAACAAACAAGAGAAGGCUUCAGUCAUUGAUGUCACUCAGUUCGGUUUUUUUUUAAGGUUCUUGGUAAGGAUGUUCUGCCUAAUUCUCAUCUUGUUGUUAUUUAGGGUAAGUUUAUUUCUAAAAUUGCUGAAGAGAAGAUCAAGGCCGGAGAACGGUGGGGUUGUGCUUCUCGAUCACUGCCUAAGUGUUCUUUAUUUUUAGAUAUUACAAUUUUGGUUAUAUAUUUGUGUUAGGAGGAACAUUUAUAUUCUUUUUGAUCUAUAUCUGGGAUUUGCUUUUGUUGUUCUUAAUUCAUUCCAUUAAAUGAUGUGAACUAGUUUUCAACAAAUUUGGUUUUUAUAUUUAUGUUAAAUCAGAUAUUUGGGAUGUUCAAAUUGUCUUCUUUUAAUUUGAUUGGAUGAUGCUUUAUGGUCUGUUAAGUUUGAAUUGAAUCUUCUUUGGGUGUCCAAAAACAGUAACAUAUGGGCAUUAUUUACAGCAAUUUGUUGUCUUGAGACUCAAGUGAGAUUGAAGUGAAGCUUUAGUGGAAGGCAAUUUUUCUGUCUCCUUGUAUUUUGUCAAUGAAUAUGGGUUCAUUUAUUGGUUUAAUGAAAUGAAUUUCAUAGUUUGACCAUAUUUGGCUUAAAUUUUAUGGCCAUUAGCACCACAUGAUUCCCAAUAGCGAAAUUACGGUCAUAUUCUACAGUAAUUGAGUUCAUUAAGCUGCCUGGGCUUAACAAUUGUUUGAUAUUCUCUGUACGAUGUUACUGAAUUUGCAGAUAUGAGAAGAAUAUCUUUCGUUUCAGUUUUUCAGUAUGUGUACCGAUUUAUUCAAUUAUUAUUACUAGCUUCUUUCAGAUUUAUUUUUUUCCAUCUUUAGGGUUUUAUCUGAGGAUUUCAUGUGUUCACUACAACAAAACACGCUAAUUCUCGACGACAUGAGCUCGACGCGGUACGUACAGCGUUGGGGAAAUUUUUGGUCUGUCCUCAAGCCUUUUAACUGAUUUGAAUAAUCAUCUAUAUGCUCCAGAUAUCAUAACAUGGUUUGAUUCUUAAACUCCCCAGACAAAAAGCAACCUCAUUCUCGCAUUUCCUUAUUUCAUCUGAUAUUGUUCUCUUCAAUCAUAGUUGUAGGUUCAAUCUGCAAGUAGCCUCGCAGUUUGUUUCGAGUCAUGUUCUAUUCAGUUCCAAUUUAUGACCUGUCACUUGUCAAUGGCCAGAGGGAUUGCCUCUGUUCCAGGCCUGCCAGCUAUGGAGAUGACCAAGCGGCUCAACAUCAUGAACUUGCUCUUCCCACAAGGGAUUGAAUGAAUACACUGGAGAUCAAGGAAAAUUCGACAGCCAAUGUACCAAGGCCCAACCCUCAAGGUCUUAUCACGUGUACCAUCGGGACAACAAAUUCUGAUCCAAUGAUAACCCUCAAGAUUCUGAUGAGGCAUUGAGAGAGCAUUGACUAAUGCGAUUAAUUUGAUGAUACUAGAUUUUGGAUGUAAUUGAGUUUGGAAAUUUUUACAGCAUCACUCUAGCUUGCGUGUUUUGUAAAUUAUGUUCAGAAGCUGCAAGAUAGGAUUGUGUGUGCUUCAAGAGUUGUUACUGUAAUCUAAGGAAAUUGACAGGAGAGAAACGGAUGACUGCCAUAAAGCUAAGGUUGCUAGAAAGGACAUCGAGUUGGGAUCCUAUAUUUAUUCGACGCCCUGUUGCUGCUCCAUCAUUGAUCAUAUAUUUUUUUAGAUAAUGUUUUUGAUAAGUAAUAGGUUUUAUAUGUGAGGGAUUUUUUUAUGUAUGUGUACCUUUGUAAUUGAUAUUUGUAUAUUCUUAUUUUUGGAAAUAAAACAUGUUCCUGUUAAAGUCGUUGA